rnacentral:rRNA from 1 species
CCUACGGGGGGCUGCAGUGGGGAAUAUUGGACAAUGGGCGAAAGCCUGAUCCAGCCAUGCCGCGUGUGUGAAGAAGGCCUUCGGGUUGUAAAGCACUUUCAGUGGGGAAGAAAGCCUUGGGGCUAAUACCCUCGAGGAAGGACAUCACCCACAGAAGAAGCACCGGCUAACUCCGUGCCAGCAGCCGCGGUAAUACGGAGGGUGCGAGCGUUAAUCGGAAUUACUGGGCGUAAAGCGCGCGUAGGCGGUCUGAUAAGCCGGUUGUGAAAGCCCCGGGCUCAACCUGGGAACGGCAUCCGGAACUGUCAGGCUAGAGUCCAGGAGAGGAAGGUAGAAUUCCCGGUGUAGCGGUGAAAUGCGUAGAGAUCGGGAGGAAUACCAGUGGCGAAGGCGGCCUUCUGGACUGACACUGACGCUGAGGUGCGAAAGCGUGGGUAGCAAACAGGAUUAGAUACCCCUGUAGUC